AGGUCAUGGUUUGGGUAAUUUCGAAGUACCCCCUAUAUCUUUUCCAUGCUUCAUAUAAAGACUCUCCACCUUGUUGUUUGAAGUUGGCUAUAUUCUUCUUGAAUUU